rnacentral:rRNA from 1 species
UGAAUACGAGACGCUACGGCGUCGAAGCAGUCUAUGUCAUACUUCCAAGAAAAGCUUGCACUGUCAUAAACAAAUAAUGCCUGUACCAUAACCGACACAGGUGGGUAGGUAGAGUAUACUAAGGGGCGCGAGAUAACUCUCUCUAAGGAACUCGGCAAAAUGACUCCGUAACUUCGGGAGAAGGAGUGCCUUAUUUAUAAGGUUGCAAUAACAAGAUCCAAGCAACUGUUUAUCAAAAACACAGGUCUCCGCUAAGUCGUAAGACGAUGUAUGGGGGCUGACGCCUGCCCAGUGCCAGAAGGUUAAAGAAGUUGGUUAGCAUUAGCGAAGCUGGUAACUGAAGCCCUGGUGAACGGCGGCCGUAACCAUAACGGUCCUAAGGUAGCGAAAUUCCUUGUCGGGUAAGUUCCGACCCGCACGAAAGGCGUAAUGAUUUGGAUACUGUCUCGGAGAGGGGCUCGGUGAAAUAGACUUGUCUGUGAAGAUGCGGACUACCUGCACCAGGACAGAAAGACCCUAUGAAGCUUUACUGUAACCUGAAAUUGAAAUUGGACUUUAUUUGCGCAGUAUAGGUGGGAGGCAUUGAGAAUAUUCUUGCGGGAAUGUUGGAGCCAUCAGUGAGAUACCACUCUUGUAAUGUUAGAUUUCUAACUUUGUAUCAUUAUCUGGUCAAAGGACAGUUUCAGGCGGGCAGUUUGACUGGGGCGGUCGCCUCCUAAAUGGUAACGGAGGCGCACAAAGGUUUCCUCUGAACGGGUAGAAAUCGUAUCUAGAGUGUAAAGGCAUAAGGAAGCUUGACUGUGAGACCUACAAGUCGAGCAGGGACGAAAGUCGGUCUUAGUGAUCUGACGGUGCUGAGUGGAAAGGCCGUCACUCAACGGAUAAAAGUUACUCUAGGAUAACAGGCUGAUCUCCCCCAAGAGUUCACAUCGACGGGGAGGUUUGGCACCUCGAUGUCGGCUCAUCGCAUCCUGGGGCGGUAGUACGUCCCAAGGGUUGGGCUGUUCGCCCAUGAAAGCGGUACGCGAGCUGGGUUCAGAACGUCGUGAGACAGUUCGGUCCAUAUCCGGUGUAGGCGUUAGAAUAUUGAGAGGAGCCUUCUUUAGUACGAGAGGACCGAGAAGGACAUACCUCUGGUGUACCAGUUAUCGUGCCAACGGUAAACGCUGGGUAGCUAUGUAUGGAGAGGAUAACCGCUGAAAGCAUCUAAGUGGGAAGCCCACCUCAAGAUAAGUAUUCCC